rnacentral:miRNA from 1 species
UACCUCAUCAACCGGAAGGAAUCCCUUCCGGUUGAUGAGGUUUAGCCUCCUCAUCGACUGGAAGGAAUCCCUUCCAAUCGAUAGCUAUACCUCAUCAACCGGAAGGAAUCCCUUCCGGUUGAUGAGGUU